AUGGUGACUCCGACACCGUACCAGGUGUCUGCGGAGGAGGACAAAGGUGCAGAGGAAGCCCGCCGUGGUAGGAAGAGGGUCGCUUUUGAAGGCCAGGAGGGGAAACCUUCCAAGAAAGGGAAAACACCAUCGACGGGCGGUUUGGGCCGGGCAAGCGAUGUUGACGUGGAGCUUUGUGAUGAGGAUAAACCUCUGGCCAAACCGUUAACGCCUGGUGUUUCCCAAUCGUCCUCCUCUUCGGGAGACCUUCUUCCAGAGAUGAUGGAGAGUGAUAUGCCCUCCCCGGCCCCCUCGCCCAAUAGGGCGGAUGAUUCUGAGAUAUCGUCCCGGGGCGCUCCUCCCGGUCAACAAGCAGUGCAGGAAACGAAGAGGGCAUUACCCGAAGGUGGUGCCUUUGUCCCUCAGGGUUCGGGAAUCAAGCAUGACGGCCCUGCCCUAUCCGGUUUAGAGCCGGAGAUGAUCCUGGGGGCGAGUGGGCGGAUUCCUUCAAAGGAAUACCGUACUCCGGCGGUGGCUUCCGAAGACCCAGAAGUGCAGGAUAUGCCGACGAGCAUGUUGCGACGAGCUCCGUUUCGGAGGAACACCGUGCCUUGA
rnacentral:rRNA from 1 species